AGAAAAAGUACUCUAUCCCUAUCACUAACCCAAACAAAUGGAUCUUCCAAGCAUACAACAACACCGUUGCUCUCUUUAUUCAAAUGGAAGAAUAUCACAGUGGUCUAAAGACCUUUGCGAUGGUGGCGCUCACUUCAAAGCCCAUUCAAGUGUUCGGUCGUUCAUAGUAUAAGUGCGAGUGGAUUUCUAAUAAUGGUUCUUCUGUAAAAACUAGUAACUUCGUACCAAAUUUGAUAAAUAUGUAACAAAAUCACAAAUUUUAAUUUGCUAUAACAUCUGCGAAUUCAAGAAGGAGAAUAAGUAGAGUCAAAUUGUGGGAUGAUGCGGGUUAAACGUUG
rnacentral:misc_RNA from 1 species